UGAGGUAUAAUGCACGAUAAAAAUGCGGAAUCAUUAAAGUUCAAUCAGUAGUCUAAAAUAUGUCAGGAUUCAAAGAAAAAACUUGGAAAAAAUGUAAAGAGAAUGAUACAACCUCUUCGGACGCUGUCACUGAAAAUAAGACUAGCGACAGCAUUCGCAGUCAAAGAAGUUCGUCGCUAAUUCGAUCGAGAAAGCGCCACUGGUUUCGAAGCGACGAAGACGAUACCUUUUCGGCCGAGAGUCACGAGAUUUUAAUUCCCGGAGUGCCAGUCGAACUUAUCGACGAAAACAGUAUAAACGACGAUAAACAUCAUAGACGGAAAUCGUGCAAGCCGAAAAAUGAUUUAAGUAAAACGACCUCUCCAUUCGACACAUUCGCCCCGACGAGAAAUCCUUUCCAUCAGGACACCGGGAUAAUCGUACAAUUCGGAGUUAUCAAGGAUAAUAAAGUCAAAAACGGGAAUACCAACGAAAUGUGGGGAGAGCUACCGUCCUCCGAAGUGGCAGAAAGUCCCAAACCCAAACGGCAAAAGGGACCGAAAGGGGGAAGCAAGCAGCGGGUGGCAACCCGCAAAUCGAAACAGAAGCCAUUGGCUCCUCCGCCUUCUCCGUCCAGUGAAAACUCACCGCCACCUCCGCCUCCGCCUCCGCCACCGCCACCUCCGCCACCUCCGCCGGUACCUCAUCAUCCCUCUCCGGUUCCUUCUACCCUACAUCAUGGCCCUUCUGGACACUCGACUACGCCGGGACAAUCGCAUCAUCCCGAAUCGUCAGCCGCACCCCCGAAUCCCGCAGGGACUGGCGCUUGCGGUUCACCCGCAUGUCCUGCUCGUAGCGUUGUACCGAAACAAAAAGAGAGACUUUGCAUGGCUCCCGAUUGUCCGGUUACGAUGAAAAAAGCUGUUAUAAAGGAAGCUAAGAAGGCAAUGAAAAAUUCCUGUAAAAAGAAGAGGAAGAAUCCUAUCAUGAUAUUGGGGGCAGUUCUCAUGAACACCUUCGCAGGUCACGAUUCUCCGUGUAAGCUUACCAAGGAGGAGAAGAAAAAGUUGAAGAAAAUGGAACGGGACGAAAGGGACAAAAAUCAGGAGGGGGCCAGUGGACCAAACAGAAGGUCGAAGGGUGUUCAAUGCAAACCACCGCCACCGGUGAAGCAGCUUAAGGAAGAAGGUCCUAAAAAGGCAGAUAAAUCAACCACUUGUGAUAUACCCGAGUGUCCGAUUGUUCAGCAGAAGAAAAAAGCCAAGGAAUAUGUGAACAAAGGACAGCUCUGCGAUUUACCCAGCUGUCCCGUCAAGGCGCCACCACCGAAGAAGGAGAAAAAGGUCCGAGAGCCGCCCCCGCCGAAAGGAUGUCCUUCGAAACCGUGCUCACUGAAACCGAAGGACGAGGAAUUUUUACGGCAGUUAGGCCCUUCGAUUUUCGAAAAAAAUCCACGGUUGAAAAUGAACUGCGAGCAAUCACUGGCUGAAACCACAGGGGGACUUUCGCAGCCUCAUCGCGCUCACAAUCAGACUGAUACGAAAAACGGAGAUAACCCACUCGAGACUAAGACGAAGGAGAGAGAGAAGGGGGUGACAAUAGUCGCGGCUCAUGUCCGAGUACCGCCACCAGCCAACAACCCUUUCCAACCAAUUAUUAGCCACCCCCGAGAGAUCGCUGCCGCGUCCAGAAAGACAGUCGAACUUCAAACUCUGGAGAAUAGGCAACCCUGCUCAGGUAAAAAUAUCAACAGCGACGGAUUUCUCGAGACAAAUUGAACCUGAGGGUGUGAGAGGUGAGUGUUUAAAAACUCGAAUAUUAGCCAAUACUGAAAAUAUGGAAGGAUUAUCAUUCAAAUCGACUAGUCAACACCCAUCGAAGAGGAAAAAUUCUGACGAGAUAUGUAUACAAACGUUAGCGACAAGUGCUAUUUCUCCUGGCGAAUUGAAGACGAUUGGCAUUGUUACUUCCGCGAUUGUAGACUAGGAAACUUGCCGGAAAG